rnacentral:rRNA from 1 species
UGGCUUAGAAGCAGCCACCAUUUAAAGAGUGCGUAAUAGCUCACUAGUCGAGUGAUCCUGCGCCGAAAAUGUAACGGGGCUAAACACAUUACCGAAAUCGUGGAUGCAACUAUGUUGCAUGGUAGGAGAGCGUUCUAAGGGCGAUGAAGCUAGACCGUAAGGACUGGUGGAGCGCUUAGAAGUGAGAAUGCCGGUAUGAGUAGCGAAAGAUCAGUGAGAAUCUGGUCCACCGUAUGACUAAGGUUUCCUGGGGAAGGCUCGUCCUCCCAGGGUUAGUCGGGACCUAAGCCGAGGCCGAGAGGCGUAGGCGAUGGAUAACAGGUUGAGAUUCCUGUACUGGUUUGAUUUGUUUGAACGAUGGAGGGACGCAGGAGGCUAGAGAUGCGUGCUGUUGGAUAUGCACGUCCAAGCAACAAGUCUGAUGAUGAGUCAAAUGCUUAUCGUCUUAAGGACAAGUUGUGACGGGGAGCGAAAUUAAAGUAGCGAAGUGAUCGAUGUCACACUGCCGAGAAAAGCUUCUAGUUAGGAUCAGACCACCCGUACCGCAAACCGACACAGGUAGUCGAGGCGAGUAGCCUAAGGUGAGCGAGAGAACUCUCGUUAAGGAACUCGGCAAAAUGACCCCGUAACUUCGGGAGAAGGGGUGCUGCACAAUGUGCAGCCGCAGUGAAUAGGCCCAGGCGACUGUUUAUCAAAAACACAGGUUUCUGCAAAAUCGUAAGAUGAAGUAUAGGGGCUGACGCCUGCCCGGUGCUGGAAGGUUAAGAGGAUGGGUUAGCGUAAGCGAAGCUCAGAAUUGAAGCCCCAGUAAACGGCGGCCGUAACUAUAACGGUCCUAAGGUAGCGAAAUUCCUUGUCGGGUAAGUUCCGACCCGCACGAAAGGCGUAACGAUCUGGGCACUGUCUCAACGAGAGACUCGGUGAAAUUAUAAUACCCGUGAAGAUGCGGGUUACCCGCGACAGGACGGAAAGACCCCAUGGAGCUUUACUGUAGCUUGAUAUUGGGUGUUUGUACAACUUGUACAGGAUAGGUAGGAGCCGUAGAAGUCGGAACGCUAGUUUCGAUCGAGGCGCUGGUGGGAUACUACCCUCGUUGUAUGAACACUCUAACCCUCGCCGCUUAUCGCGGCGGGAGACAGUGUCAGGUGGGCAGUUUGACUGGGGCGGUCGCCUCCUAAAAGGUAACGGAGGCGCCCAAAGGUUCCCUCAGAAUGGUUGGAAAUCAUUCGCAGAGUGUAAAGGCAUAAGGGAGCUUGACUGCGAGACCUACAAGUCGAGCAGGGACGAAAGUCGGGCUUAGUGAUCCGGUGGUUCCGCAUGGAAGGGCCAUCGCUCAACGGAUAAAAGCUACCCUGGGGAUAACAGGCUUAUCUCCCCCAAGAGUCCACAUCGACGGGGAGGUUUGGCACCUCGAUGUCGGCUCAUCGCAUCCUGGGGCUGUAGUAGGUCCCAAGGGUUGGGCUGUUCGCCCAUUAAAGCGGUACGCGAGCUGGGUUCAGAACGUCGUGAGACAGUUCGGUCCCUAUCCGUCGCGGGCGUAGGAAAUUUGAGAGGAUCUGUCCUUAGUACGAGAGGACCGGGAUGGACAUACCGCUGGUGUACCAGUUGUUCUGCCAAGGGCAUCGCUGGGUAGCUAUGUAUGGAUGAGAUAAACGCUGAAAGCAUCUAAGUGCGAAACUCACCUCGAGAUAAGAUUUCCCAUUCCUUUAUGGAAGUAAGACCCCUGAGAGAUGAUCAGGUAGAUAGGAUGGAAGUGGAAGUACGGUGACGUAUGGAGCGGACCAUUACUAAUCGGUCGAGGACUUAACCAA